ACGUAGGGUGCGAGCGUUAAUCGGAAUUACUGGGCGUAAAGCGUGCGCAGGCGGCUUUGUAAGACAGGUGUGAAAUCCCCGGGCUUAACCUGGGAAUGGCGCUUGUGACUGCAAGGCUUGAGUUCGGCAGAGGGGGGUGGAAUUCCACGUGUAGCAGUGAAAUGCGUAGAGAUGUGGAGGAACACCGAUGGCGAAGGCAGCCCCCUGGGUCGCGACUGACGCUCAUGCACGAAAGCGUGGGGAGCAAACAGGAUUAGAUACCCUGGUAGUCCACGCCCUAAACGAUGUCGACUAGGUGUUGGGGAAGGAGACUUCUUUAGUACCGUAGCUAACGCGUGAAGUCGACCGCCUGGGGAGUACGGUCGCAAGAUUA
rnacentral:rRNA from 1 species